GAUGAAGAACGUAGCGGAAUGCGAUAAGUAAUGUGAAUUGCAGAAUUCAGUGAAUCAUCGAAUCUUUGAACGCACAUUGCGCCCGCCAGUAUUCUGGCGGGCAUGCCUGUUCGAGCGUCAUUACAACCCUCAGGCCCCCGGGCCUGGCGUUGGGGAUCGGCGGAGCCCCCCGUGGGCACACGCCGUCCCCCAAAUACAGUGGCGGUCCCGCCGCAGCUUCCAUCGCGUAGUAGCUAACACCUCGCGACUGGAGAGCGGCGCGGCCACGCCGUAAAACACCCAACUCUUCUGAAGUUGACCUCGAAUCAGGUAGGAAUACCCGCUGAACUUAAGCAUAUCAAUAAGCGGAGGA
rnacentral:misc_RNA from 1 species